rnacentral:rRNA from 1 species
GACAGAGGGUGCAAACGUUGUUCGGAAUUACUGGGCGUAAAGCGCGUGUAGGCGGCUAAGUAAGUCGGGCGUGAAAUCCCACGGCUCAACCGUGGAAGUGCACUCGAAACUGCAUAGCUAGAGUCCGGAAGAGGCGAGUGGAACUCCUGGUGUAGCGGUGAAAUGCGCAGAUAUCAGGAAGAACACCAAUGGCGAAGGCAGCUCGCUGGGACGGUACUGACGCUGAGACGCGAAAGCGUGGGGAGCAAACAGG